UACGUAGGAUGCGAGCGUUAAUCGGAAUUACUGGGCGUAAAGCGUGCGUAGACGGCUAUCUAAGUCGGGUGUGAAAGCCCCUGGCUCAACCUGGGAAUUGCAUUCGAGACUGAAUAGCUAGGGUACGGUAGAGGGAAGUGGAAUUUCCGGUGUAGCGGUGAAAUGCGUAGAUAUCGGAAGGAACAUCAGUGGCGAAAGCGACUUCCUGGACCAGUACCGACGUUCAGGCACGAAAGCGUGGGGAGCAAACAGG
rnacentral:rRNA from 1 species